UGGGGAAUUUUGCACAAUGGGCGCAAGCCUGAUGCAGCCUUGCGGCGUGUAUGAAGAAGGCCUUCGGGUGGUAAAGUACUUUCAGCCGGGGGGAAGGUGUCAAGGUUAAUAACUUUGGCAAUUGACGUUACGGACAGAAGAAGACCGGCCAAACUCGGUGCCGGCAGCCGCGGUAAUACGGAGGGUGCAAGCGUUAAUCGGAAUUACUGGGCGUAAAGCGCACGCAGGCGGUUUGUUAAGUCAGAUGUGAAAUCCCCGGGCUCAACCUGGGAACUGCAUCUGAUACUGGCAAGCUUGAGUCUCGUAGAGGGGGGUAGAAUUCCAGGUGUAGCGGUGAAAUGCGUAGAGAUCUGGAGGAAUACCGGUGGCGAAGGCGGCCCCCUGGACGAAGACUGACGCUCAGGUGCGAAAGCGUGGGGAGCAAACAGG
rnacentral:rRNA from 1 species